rnacentral:lncRNA from 1 species
AACUCGAUUAAGAGACAAAAAAUAUAUUGUUGAAGAAAUAAAAAAUUAGAGAGUAAAAUCAGUUCGAGUGUGCAUCUAAGAAAAUGAUGGACAAGCAAAAAACAUGAAAGAGAAAGCUUGAAAUCAAAACAAAUGAGUUGCGGUGAAUUUCUGACCUAUUAGUGAAGGACAAUGUGCUCGAAAGCACAAAUUGAGGAUAAACAUACAAU